UACGGGGGGAGCAAGCGUUGUUCGGAUUUACUGGGCGUAAAGGGCGGGUAGGCGGCCACCGCAAGUCAGUUGUGAAAUCUCCGGGCUUAACUCGGAAAGGUCAACUGAUACUGCGGGGCUAGAGUGCAGAAGGGGCAACCGGAAUUCUCGGUGUAGCGGUGAAAUGCGUAGAUAUCGAGAGGAACACCUGCGGCGAAGGCGGCAUCCUGGACCGGUAUUGACGCUGAGGCGCGAAAGCCAGGGGAGCAAACGGG
rnacentral:rRNA from 1 species